GGCAACUUGGCCGAGUGGUUAAGGCGAAAGAUUAGAAAUCUUUUGGGCUUUGCCCGCGCAGGUUCGAGUCCUGCAGNGUAUUAUUUGGGCCC
rnacentral:tRNA from 1 species